rnacentral:rRNA from 1 species
UCCUCCCGGAACGUGGAAGCUGUAAGGCUUGAAUCUGGGAGCGGAGGUUCCAAGUGCAACACUUACAGGUGAAAUGUGUUUUAGAUGUAGAGGAACACCGGUGGCGACGCCCGCUUCGUGGACGAAGAUUGACGCUCAGGAGUGAAAGCUUGGGGAGCGGACAGGAUUAGAUACCGUGGUAGUCCACGACGUAAACGACAUUGACCUGGAGGCCGUUGAAUUGUGGCCCCGCUUCCGGAGCUAAAGCGUUAAGUCGACCGCGUGGGGAGUCCGGCUGCAAGGUUAAAAUUCAAAUGAAUCGACGGGGGCCCGCACAAGCGGUGGAGCAUGUGGUUUAAUUCGAUGCAACGCGAACAACCUUACUUACUCUUGACAUCCAGAGAACUUAGCAGAGAUGCUUUCCUGCCUUCGGGAACUAUGAGACAGGUGCUGCAUGGCUGUCGUCAGCUCGUGUUGUGAAAUGUUGGGUUAAGUCCCGCAACGAGCGCAACCCUUAUCCUUUGUUGCCAGCGAUUCGGUCGGGAACUCAAAGGAGACUGCCGGUGAUAAACCGGAGGAAGGUGGGGAUGACGUCAAGUCAUCAUGGCCCUUACGAGUAGGGCUACACACGUGCUACAAUGGCGCAUACAAAGAGAAGCGACCUCGCGAGAGCAAGCGGACCUCACAAAGUGCGUCGUAGUCCGGAUCGGAGUCUGCAACUCGACUCCGUGAAGUCGGAAUCGCUAGUAAUCGUGGAUCAGAAUGCCACGGUGAAUACGUUCCCGGGCCUUGUACACACCGCCCGUCACACCAUGGGAGUGGGUUGCAAAAGAAGUAGGUAGCUUAACCUUUGA